rnacentral:rRNA from 1 species
GACGAACGCUGGCGGCGUGCUUAACACAUGCAAGUCGAACGGUGAAGCGCCUUCCUUUUUGGUGGGUGUGGAUGAGUGGCGAACGGGUGAGUAACACGUGAGUAACCUGCCCCCUUCUUCUGGAUAACCGCAUGAAAGUGUGGCUAAUACAGGAUAUUCUGGGUCUGUCGCAUGAUGGGUCUGGGAAAGAUAUUGUUUCGGUGGGGGAUGGGCUCGCGGCCUAUCAGCUUGUUGGUGGGGUGAUGGCCUACCAAGGCGGUGACGGGUAGCCGGCCUGAGAGGGUGGACGGUCACACUGGGACUGAGACACGGCCCAGACUCCUACGGGAGGCAGCAGUGGGGAAUAUUGCACAAUGGGCGCAAGCCUGAUGCAGCGACGCCGCGUGAGGGAUGGAGGCCUUCGGGUUGUGAACCUCUUUCGCCAGUGAAGCAGGCCUGCCUCGUUUGUGGGUGGGUCGACGGUAGCUGGAUAAGAAGCGCCGGCUAACUACGUG